AUUGAACGCUGGCGGCAGGCCUAACACAUGCAAGUCGAAUGGUAACAGGAAACAGCUUGCUGUUUCGCUGACGAGUGGCGGGCGGGUGAGUAAUGUCUGGGAAACUGCCUGAUGGAGGGGGAUAACUACUGGAAACGGUAGCUAAUACCGCAUAACGUCGCAAGACCAAAGAGGGGGACCUUCGGGCCUCUUGCCAUCAGAUGUGCCCAGAUGGGAUUAGCUAGUAGGUGGGGUAACGGCUCACCUAGGCGACGAUCCCUAGCUGGUCUGAGAGGAUGACCAGCCACACUGGAACUGAGACACGGUCCAGACUCCUACGGGAGGCAGCAGUGGGGAAUAUUGCACAAUGGGCGCAAGCCUGAUGCAGCCAUGCCGCGUGUAUGAAGAAGGCCUUCGGGUUAUAAAGUACUUUCAGCGGGGAGGAAGGGAGUAAAGUUAAUACCUUUGCUCAUUGACGUUACCCGCAGAAGAAGCACCGGCUAACUCCGUG
rnacentral:rRNA from 1 species